UACAGAGGUCUCAAGCGUUGUUCGGAUUCAUUGGGCGUAAAGGGUGCGUAGGUGGCGCUGUAAGUCGGGUGUGAAAUUUCGGAGCUUAACUCCGAAACUGCAUUCGAUACUGCGGUGCUUGAGGACUGGAGAGGAGACUGGAAUUCCUGGUGUAGCGGUGAAAUGCGCAGAUAUCAGGAGGAACACCAAUAGCGAAGGCAGCUCGCUGGGACGUUACUGACACUGAGGCGCGAAAGCGUGGGGAGCGAACAGG
rnacentral:rRNA from 1 species